rnacentral:rRNA from 1 species
UACGUAGGGUGCGAGCGUUAAUCGGAAUUCCUGGGCGUAAAGCGUGCGCAGGCGGUGAUGUAAGACAGGUGUGAAAUCCCCGGGCUUAACCUGGGAACUGCAUUUGUGACUGCAUCGCUGGAGUGCGGCAGAGGGGGAUGGAAUUCCGCGUGUAGCAGUGAAAUGCGUAGAUAUGCGGAGGAACACCGAUGGCGAAGGCAAUCCCCUGGGACUGCACUGACGCUCAUGCACGAAAGCGUGGGGAGCAAACAGG